UGGGGAAUAUUGCACAAUGGGCGCAAGCCUGAUGCAGCCAUGCCGCGUGUAUGAAGAAGGCCUUCGGGUUGUAAAGUACUUUCAGCGGGGAGGAAGGUGUUGUGGUUAAUAACCACAGCAAUUGACGUUACCCGCAGAAGAAGCACCGGCUAACUCCGUGCCAGCAGCCGCGGUAAUACGGAGGGUGCAAGCGUUAAUCGGAAUUACUGGGCGUAUAGCGCACGCAGGCGGUCUGUCAAGUCGGAUGUGAAAUCCCCGGGCUCAACCUGGGAACUGCAUCCGAAACUGGCAGGCUUGAGUCUUGUAGAGGGGGGUAGAAUUCCAGGUGUAGCGGUGAAAUGCGUAGAGAUCUGGAGGAAUACCGGUGGCGAAGGCGGCCCCCUGGACAAAGACUGACGCUCAGGUGCGAAAGCGUGGGGAGCAAACA
rnacentral:rRNA from 1 species